UCUCUCUCUCUCUCUCUCUCCUUAUCUAUUCAUAUCAAUUUGGGCAUUUUUUUAGCAUUUUUUAAUCCUUCAAGUAACAUUAUGCAAUGAUUUGUGUAUUGGGAAUUUUUGAGUUUCGAAUCCCUAAUUAGGGAUUUGUAGUGUCGAUUCCCUAAUUGUGGAUUAGUAUAGAGGUGUUGUCUAAGAGAAGACAGUCACGUAUCAGAGGUCUAUUUGCAUGAAGAUGCUGAUAUCUUAGUCCAUGAGCUUGUAGCAUACAUUUGGUUAUGCAUUAUAUAAGAUGUUGAAGUUGGUGGGCCAUCAUUGAUCAAAUAGACUGCAUUGUUUGGAUCGGUGGCCCAUGAGAUUGGAGGAUUAUGCGUAUCCAGUGGGCCUAAUUGGUAGACAUAUGGGUGCUUAAAGUAAAGAGACCAUAUUGGAGAAAAAGGGCCGUGCAUCAGCACCUUGCUGGUUUAUCACUGCAGAGGAGCUUGACUGUCUGUCAUCUUCAACUUCUACAUCAGCAUGUUUCAACUAAGUAGAUACAGCCAAAGCUGCCCAACCAAUCCCGGGUUUCAAUUUUUCUGCAUUGCAGCUAUAUGAGGGGGAGGCUCACACUGGACAAGGUGAACGCUGCUGUCAAUGACAUGGCAACAUAUGCAGAUGCUAAUGCCCAGCUUAUUGUAGCCCCCAAAAAUAAGUUGGCAGAAGAUACUUGGAAAAAGGCUCUAGAACUAAGAGACAUUGCAAUGACAGAAGCGGUAAAAUGAAAACAUUUUUUCCUUGAAACUGAUAUGAAAGGUCCAGGACUGAAGCUUGACAACACUGGAAAAGCAAUUCUGACUGUGAGUGUUUG